UAAAUAAUCUACCUUUGUGAAUUUGUUUGUUUGAAUAAUUUUUUUUUUUAAAAAUUAUUGGAGUCUUCCCUUUAGAGUUGCUUUUGAGUUGUAAAAGAAUUCGAAACAUCUAAAGGAUGGUCAUAAUUUUUUUGAAAAAGACAUUUUUAAAAUUAACUUUUGUAUCAUUGUCUAAAAUAUUUUAUAAUAUAAAAACAACUUUUGACAAUGGAUCUUUGUUCUCGCAACGAUGAAGAACGCAGCAAAAUGCGAUAAGUAGUGUGAAUGCAGAAUACGUGAAUCAUCGAAUCUUGAACGCAUAUUGCACUUUUUAGUUUACUAAAAAGUAUGUCUGUUGAGUAUCAGUAAAUAUUCAUAAAAUCAUUGUAUUUUAUGUUAUGAGUGUUUUACAACGAUACAAGUUGUUUCACUUUAAAUUUUUUUUUAAUAUUGAAUUUUUCUAAUUUAAUAAUUAAAUUGGAUAAAAUUUUCCGUCAAAAGAUAACUAAACAAUUUAAUGAUUAAUUUUAGCAAAUUUCGAAAAAAGGAAAUUUUAUUAAAAUACUUGAUCUCAAAUCAGAUAAGAGUACCGCUGAACUUAAGCAUCAUAAGCGGAGGAAAAGAAACUAACAAGGAUUCCUUAGUAACGCGAGUGAAGCGGAAGAGCUCAAUUUGAAUCUUCAAGUUUUACCUGAGAAUUGUAGUUUAAAGAAGUGUUUCUGCUGAAGUUUGGUAAAGUCUUUGGAAUAGAAUCAUAGAGGGUGAGAAUCCGUAUUGACCAUUAUUUUCAGCUUUGUGAUACACUUUCAAAGAGUCGGAUUGUUUGGGAAUGCAGUCCAAAAUGGGUGUAAAUUUCAUCUAAAGCAAAUAUUGGCGAGAGACCGAUAGCGAACAAUACCGUGAGGAAGAUGAAAGAACUUUGAAAAGAGAGUAAACAGUACGUGAAAUUGUCAAAAGGAAGCGUUUGACACCAGUGUGUUUUCUCGAAAUCAAUUAAAAUGGCUCGAUUUGUAUUGCUGAGACUUAAAGCUCACUGUACAUUUUCGUGUCUUUUUUAAUGCACUUUUCGUUUAACAAGUCAACAUCAGUUUCUUUGUUGUAAAGGUCAUUGGAAGUGGCUUUCUUUCGGAGAAAGUGUUAUAGCUUUGGCUCUGCAUCGAGAGACUGAGUUGCAGGUAGACUCUUCGGGUUAGAUACAUUUGCUAGUUAUAGCUUUUUAUAGACAACUUGUUGACUUAUUAGUCUUGUAGCUACUCGCUUAUGCUAUUUACCUACGUUAGGAUG
rnacentral:misc_RNA from 1 species